CUGGUCAACUCAUAAUAAAGAGAUCCAAAUGUACAAAAUUUGAUUCACACAUUAAAUAAUUCAUAGAACAAAUAAAGUAAUAAGAAAGAGUAACAAAGUGAGCUAAAUACAAUAAUGGAGCACGAAGAACUUUGAACCUUUAUUGCUGAGUUUGCUAGGUAUACAAAUGAGCGGGCAGCGACACUCAAACGAUCUAGUGAUUGGAACUUCGAACGGAACCUCGGACAAGACCUCACCCGGAAAACCUCGAAACUCGCCGGAAAGUUAAAAAAACCAGCCGGAUUUGAAAGUCCGGCGAGAAUCAGAAAAUCGCACACACACGCCGCUAUUUCCACGGCGACGAGUUGCGGUUGCGGUUCGAGCUACUAUUUCCAUGUUCUUAAAGCUGGUUUUACAGCUGGUUACAAUGGAGGACGGAGGAAAAUCCAACGCUAUUUUGGUGGUUGAAAACAACGUAACCUCAUGGUGAUAUUAUCGUCGCAGGAUUUUGGUGUUCGACGGAGGUAGCGCAUGCCUAUUUCUAUCCAGAUCCAGUCCAAUUCGACCUUCCGAAAUAUAGGAGGUGGCUAGGUUGGUAUUUUCGUAAUUGGCGUGUGGCCAUCUUUGGGUGCUGCUGCCGGCGGCGAUGGUUAGAUAAGGGAGGGGUGGUGCGGCUGAAGGUUUGUGUAGGGUGAUGGCUGCUCUUGGUUGAUAGAGGUUAGGUUGCUUCUGCUUAGGUUUUUGAAGGAGAUGGAGAUUAGAAAGGUUUUUUCUUUUGGUUUUCCUCCUCCCUCCCAAACUGCUGACCUCUUUU
rnacentral:lncRNA from 1 species